rnacentral:lncRNA from 1 species
UAUAAAAUACCAACAAUACGUCUAUUGCAAAACCAAGUUAUAAUAGACCAAGUUAGUUUUUUAAAUAUGACGAAGUUAAUAAUGGUUUUUAUUGCUGUUUUUGGGGCUGUCUUGGUUGAAACCGCAGAAAACCAGAGAUACAAGCAGAUAAAAACAGC